rnacentral:rRNA from 1 species
CACCAUUUAAAGAGUGCGUAAUAGCUCACUAGUCGAGUGACUCUGCGCCGAAAAUGUACCGGGGCUAAAUACACCACCGAAGCUGCGGAUUGAUACCAAUGGUAUCAGUGGUAGGGGAGCGUUCUAAGGACAGUGAAGUCAGACCGGAAGGACUGGUGGAGUGCUUAGAAGUGAGAAUGCCGGUAUGAGUAGCGAAAGACGGGUGAGAAUCCCGUCCACCGAAUGCCUAAGGUUUCCUGAGGAAGGCUCGUCCGCUCAGGGUUAGUCAGGACCUAAGCCGAGGCCGACAGGCGUAGGCGAUGGACAACAGGUUGAUAUUCCUGUACCACCUCUUUAUCGUUUGAGCAAUGGAGGGACGCAGAAGGAUAGAAGAAGCGUGCGAUUGGUUGUGCACGUCCAAGCAGUUAGGCUGAUAAGUAGGCAAAUCCGCUUAUCGUGAAGGCUGAGCUGUGAUGGGGAAGCUCCUUAUGGAGCGAAGUCUUUGAUUCCCCGCUGCCAAGAAAAGCUUCUAGCGAGAUAAAAGGUGCCUGUACCGCAAACCGACACAGGUAGGCGAGGAGAGAAUCCUAAGGUGUGCGAGAGAACUCUGGUUAAGGAACUCGGCAAAAUGACCCCGUAACUUCGGGAGAAGGGGUGCUUUCUUAACGGAAAGCCGCAGUGAAUAGGCCCAAGCGACUGUUUAGCAAAAACACAGCUCUCUGCGAAGCCGUAAGGCGAAGUAUAGGGGGUGACACCUGCCCGGUGCUGGAAGGUUAAGGAGAGGGGUUAGCGUAAGCGAAGCUCUGAACUGAAGCCCCAGUAAACGGCGGCCGUAACUAUAACGGUCCUAAGGUAGCGAAAUUCCUUGUCGGGUAAGUUCCGACCCGCACGAAAGGUGUAACGAUUUGGGCACUGUCUCAACCAGAGACUCGGUGAAAUUAUAGUACCUGUGAAGAUGCAGGUUACCCGCGACAGGACGGAAAGACCCCGUGGAGCUUUACUGUAGCCUGAUAUUGAAUUUUGGUACAGUUUGUACAGGAUAGGCGGGAGCCUUUGAAACCGGAGCGCUAGCUUCGGUGGAGGCGCUGGUGGGAUACCGCCCUGACUGUAUUGAAAUUCUAACCUACGGGUCUUAUCGACCCGGGAGACAGUGUCAGGUGGGCAGUUUGACUGGGGCGGUCGCCUCCUAAAGUGUAACGGAGGCGCCCAAAGGUUCCYUCAGAAUGGUUGGAAAUCAUUCGUAGAGUGCAAAGGCAUAAGGGAGCUUGACUGCGAGAACUACAAGUCGAGCAGGGACGAAAGUCGGGCUUAGUGAUCCGGUGGUUCCGCAUGGAAGGGCCAUCGCUCAACGGAUAAAAGCUACCCCGGGGAUAACAGGCUUAUCUCCCCCAAGAGUCCACAUCGACGGGGAGGUUUGGCACCUCGAUGUCGGCUCAUCGCAUCCUGGGGCUGUAGUCGGUCCCAAGGGUUGGGCUGUUCGCCCAUUAAAGCGGUACGCGAGCUGGGUUCAGAACGUCGUGAGACAGUUCGGUCCCUAUCCGUCGUGGGCGUAGGAAAUUUGAGAGGAGCUGUCCUUAGUACGAGAGGACCGGGAUGGACGCACCGCUGGUGUACCAGUUGUUCUGCCAAGGGCAUAGCUGGGUAGCUAUGUGCGGAAGGGAUAAGUGCUGAAAGCAUCUAAGCAUGAAGCCCCCCUCAAGAUGAGAUUUCCCAUAGCGUAAGCUAGUAAGAUCCCUGAAAGAUGAUCAGGUUGAUAGGUUCGAGGUGGAAGCAUGGUGACAUGUGGAGCUGACGAAUACUAAUAGAUCGAGGACUUAACCAU